GCUUCCUAGACAGUGCUCAGAGGUCAGCAGUCUUCCUGUGCCAGUUGUUCGCAGUCUGUGGCACCUUGGGCAAGUGACUUGGCCAUUUGUGCUCUUGUUUGUUCUUUUUCUUCAUUCACCCUGAAAUGAAGGCGGUAACAGUGCAGGAGCCACAGAGGUGCUGGGAGUUCGGACAGGAGAAGGGUUUAGAGUGUGCCGAGGGCAGGGGACCGUGAGGACGCAGGCUGGCUCUCAGUGUUGUCCGGACCGCGGAGGACAUGGCCACCCAGGCCUCCCUGGCCUCGGGGAGGAGCUUGGAGGGCACUGGGAAUCCUUUCUGGUAUGAAUUACCAGAAAAAACACAAGGAAACAUAAAAAUUACACUUGCAAGUCCCCCUCUAAGGCCCUUCUACCCAUCUCAACCUGUCCUUCAAAACCUGCUUCUCGAGAUUAAACCAUUAAUAAUCUAAAUUGCAUCCUUUAAACCUUUUAUGUGCAGUAUUUCAAUAACCGAAACAAAUACACAAACUACCAUUUUGGUAUAAAAAGGAAGAAAAGAAAAUUAUAUAAUAUUACCCACACUGUUCUGCAACCUGAUUUUUUCCACCUAUGCGGUGUUGUGGAAAUCUUCCCACAUCCAUGCCCCGUGGUUUCCCCUGCUGCAGAGCAUCCUGGGGCAGGGAUGGGCCAUCUUUCCUUUUAACUGUCUGUCCAGAAAUUGACAGGAGAGUGGUUUCCCUCAUUGCUUUCGUUAACAAUGCGCCUUUGUCCUCACACCCACUGUCCCCUGAGGCUAAAUCCCCCACACCACCGGAGCGGCAGAGGGAGGGGGAAUGUGCAUUUGAGAGGGUGGUGGAUGACGUGCUUUUGCGGGCUGUCCAUGCAAAGUCCUGUGUGUGUACCCGUGGUCCAGGGAGCGGGGGAACCAGGUUGGGUGGAACGCAGUGACCUGGACCAUCACUUGCAGGGUGGCCGGGGUCACUUUAUUGUGCCUUUGCCUCCUUCACGCGGGCCACAGUGCUACCAGCAGUCCUAUUGAAUCUCCCAGCCCAUUCGUUUCCAUUUGCUGCUGGACAGCCUGUCAGCACCUUUGCUUUUCUUUGGAGCCUCCACCCCCACUCAGUGGAUGACGUCACUUCCUGUCUCACUGAGCACAGAAGCAGCAGAGAGACGAUGAAGUCUACCCCACCACACUGCUCGCCUGUCUGCACUGGGCCUGAGUCCUCUGCCUCCUUCCUAGGCUGAGGCCGCCCCUUCUCUCCAUACAAUGGAAUCUUUAAAAAUGUAUACAACUGAGAUACAAUGUGCACCCACAAAAGUGUACAAGUUAGCAUAUGUAACCUUCAGCAAUCCCUAAUUCCAGAACAUUUUCAUUACCCUAUGCCUGUCAGUAAUCAUCUCCUGUUUUCCCUCCUGGCGAUCACUAAUCAGUCUCCCCCACCCCCAUACACCUUUCUGGAAUUCCAUACAAAUGCAAUCACACUCAAGAUCUUUUGUGACCCACUUUUUUCACUUGGAACAUUGUUCUUAAGACUCAUCCCUGUUGUAGCUCAAAUCAGAACUUACAUCCUUUUGAUGGCUGAAUAAUAUUCCAUUGUAUGGGUAUACAACACUUUAAAAUCCAUUGGUAGAUGGAUAUUUGGAUGGUUUCCACUUUGGAGGUAUUAUAAAUAAUAUCAUAAAGAGCAUUUGUGUACAAGUUUUGUUACCAAACCAGGUUUGUUUUGCCUGCGGCACAGGCAAAUGACUGAAACUAUGAAGAGAAAGAAUUUUAUUAUGAGGCAGCUAAGCACGAGGAGAUGGAGCCCAAGUCUCAAAUCCCUCCCUGAUUUGGAACUUGGGGAUGUUUAUAGGCUGAGGUAUGGGGCAAGGUGAAUGGCUGACCUACACGGCUGCUGUUAUCUAGAGUCAACUAAAGGCAAGUAACUAAGAGCAAGUGAAAUGGGUUAAAUCUAGGGAAGCAGGGGACUAAGAGGUGGGAAUGACUCAGGUGGUUUAUUCAGGUUUUCCCUCAGCUUUAGUUUUUGUGUGGAUGUCUGUUUUUAUUUCUCUUGUUCUAAUCUGAGGAGUGAGAUUACUAGGUAGGCCCUAUGGUUCUCCGUGUUUAAUUCUUUGAGGAACUGCUACACUGUUCUCUGAGUGACUGGCCCCUUUGACAUUUCCAACAGAGGGCACAAGCAUUCCAGUCUUUCCUUAUCCUCACCAGCACUUAUUAUUAUCCGCCUUUCUAAUUGCAGCCUCCGCAGUGGCCAGCAGCAUCUCAUGAGAAGUGCAGACCCAUCUCCUCCCCUGCUUGAGCUUGGAGAUCUCAUUUUUCUCUCACAUCUACUUCAACAUAUUUUCCUCUUUCUCCCUCACCCACCCAUUGGCAAGCAGACAGGCUCUUACUUUCCCUACCUUAAAAAAAAUGCAAACAAAAGAGACUUAUCUUAGUUGAGCUGCUCCUCGGCUACCUCCCCAUCUCCUUUUGAUAGCAAAACUUCACAAAAGAGUUUUCCCAACUUUCCAUAUUCUCUUCCUUCAUCUUACUUGAACUUAUUGUUGUCAGGCUUCUGUCCCACGCUGGCACCAAAACUUUUCAAGAUCGCAAGUGACCUCCACGCUACUGACACUGGGAGGCUUUUCACUGGGCAGUGGUAAUCGCUUCCUUCCCUUCUCUGACCUGGGCUCCAGGCGAUCUCCUCCUUGGUCCCUCCCCUUUGAGGGUCCUCCUGCUGACUCUUCUUUGCUGUUCCUCCAUGUCUUCUUGACUUUGUGAUGUUAGAGGGCUCGGGGGCUGUCCAUGUUCCCACAGGGUCUCGGGGAUCUCCUAAGUUCCUAUGACUUGGAGGUCACCCAGUGCCAAUGACCCUCGGACUGUGGCUCCAGGUCAGGCCUCUGCGCUGAGCUGCAGACUCUGCUGUCCUUGAGUGUCUGAAGGGCAACUCUGAGCUGGUGGCAGUCCUGAUUUCUCCCUUAGAGUCCACCAUGUGGCGUCUCAGCGGACAGUAGCACAUACUUCUGCAGCAAGGCCUCGUUGUGCUCCUUGACUCCAGUCCCACUUUCACACCCAAAAAGCCUGGUCUCGUCUCACCCAAGGGCUGAGCCACCUUCCUGAUCAGCUUGGAGGCUGCAGUGCCUCCUAAAUGGUACCCCCACUUCUGCCUCCUAGAUGGUACCCCCACAGUGCGCUCUCCACACAGAGCCUUUUAAGAUGCGAGCCAGUAGUGCUGUCCUCUGCUCGGGCCCUGGUGGCGAAGCCCCUUUUCACUGAGGCGAAGCCCUUGAGAUGGGCCUGAGGUCAUCCUGCAGGGCGUGGCCUCACCCCUAUCCCUUGUCACCCUCCACGUGGUCCUCACUGGCCCUGGCUGGCCCCCAACCUACCAGGCAGGACUCAGGCCUCUGAACUCGCUGCUCCCACUGCCUGGGGUGACUUAGCUCAAAUCUGCAUGACUUUGUCCUCAUCACUUUCUCCCCUCUAGACUUCUCAGAUGGCACUGCCUAGGUGAGGCUGUGUUUGGCCCAUGUGUGAAGUCGCAGGCGGGGCCCUUUCCCCUUCCUGCUUCAUUUUUCUCCUUGCUGCCUAUGCACUGUGUACUGCACUCACUGGCCCUGUCUGCUCCCUGUUUCCCUAGGGCAAGCUCCAUAGGGGCAGGGUGGGGCUUUCUGUCUGUUCUGUCACUGUUGGGUGCACAGCCCCUCUAAUCCUGCCUGCUGUACAGUGGGUGUGGAAUAAAUGUUUGCUGCAUUGGAUGUAGCUCACUGUCAGACCGCUUGCCUCACAUCUGCAAGGCCCUCUGUUGGGCUCUAAAAACAAACAAGCCCCCAAACACGGGCUAGGUAUGUAGCCCAGUGGCAGAGUGCUUGCUUAGCAUGUGCAAGGUUUGAGUUCAAUACCGAGCACUGCAAAAUGAUACAAGGAAUCUGGUGUGGUGAUGUAUGCCUGUAAUCCCAGCAUCUGGGAGGCUGAGACAGGAGGAUCACAAAUUUUAGGCCAGCUGGAGAAACUUAGGGAGAUCCUGCCUCGAAAUAAAAUAAAGGGAUGUAGCCCAGCGCUCCCGGAUACAAUAUCCUGUACUACAAAAGCCCCAAAUAAAACCAAACAGCAGAGACAACAACAACAACAACACCCUCCAAGCCAAAUCAAACCAAACCAAACCAAACCAAAUACCCCAAAUCAGAAUCACACAAAACCCCUGAAAUAACAGCAGAGCCUAAUCAGUGACAACAGCCCCAAGUCUGACGCCGGCUUUGCACAAUGAAGCGGCCCCCAUGCUAUGCUACAGAUGACCAGCAGAUGGCACUGUGACUACAGAAAUGUCGGGCGCUUGGCUCCCCUCUGCUGUUCUCAGAAAUCCACCCUGCUUCAGAGGUGAGCUGCUAGGAUGUGCGUGUGACAGCGUACAUGCCUCCCGGGUCAGCCUACUGCCGGUUUCUCAUCUCCUGGCAGGACUCCAGAGAACCUGCCAUUACUUCUGGGCUGGUGAGGGGUCCAUGUGACCGUGGUGCCUGGAUCAGGGAGCCAGCCUUUGGAACUGUUCAUGGAGCCCUGGGACAGCCACCUCUGCUCUCAGCCAUGGGUCCUGCCCUGCCAGCCAACCCAGAGCAGCCUGGGCCCUGUGCCUGGGUGUGCCUGUGGUGGGGGUCCUUCACCCCCUCCUCAGGUGGUGGGGAAUACUGAGAACCCUCCCUUUGGUUCCCUGUGCUUCCUGCUGUCAGCGUGUGGAGGAACAGGCAAAGAGUUGGAGCCCAGACCAGAGCCCAUUCCUGGCUCUGCCACUGGCCAGGGGGGUGACCUGGCCAAGUACUGAGUCUGACAGUUUGUCAUCUGGCCGAUGGGAGAGACUGCCCCAAAAUUGUGGGCUGGUGAGGUGCUCCUCCCAUCUCGUGCUGGGCCAGCAUGGAGAGGUGCCUGAGGGAGUGCAGGUCCCCACAGUGGCUGGGAGCAGAGAUGGGGCCAGAGCUGUCCUUUGAUCGUCUGCUCACUCAAACAUCUGUGAGAUGUGUACCCUACAUAUCCAGUGCUAUGCAGGGUUUGGGGGCAGUGGGGACCAGGGACUUUGCUCCUGCAUUAAAGAAGCUAUGAACUGAUGGAAGAGACACGACUAAAUCUACACGAAACAAAGUUAGAUAGUAAAUAUAAGACAAUGUACAAGAGAUGUCAGCAGGAUUCAUGGUGAAUGGCCCAGUAGAAAUGCUGGGAGUGACCAGAGGGGCGUGUGGGCCCGGGGUGGUCAUGGCAGGCUUUGGGGAGGAGAGGCUGUGCCUGUGAGAGCCAGCCUGUAAGGACGCCAGCUGUAACCCCAUGCCUCCACCCCACCCCAUCGGCACCCAUGGACCAGUCCUGGGCUAGAUUCCAAAAGCUGCUCCUGAUGAAUCCAUGGCUCAGGGUGGAAAAGAGAGACCAGCUGGAGGCGUUCCGCUGCCUGCCCGCCUGCGGUGCUGUCUAGAAUCAACUGAGGCCACUUGGAGUCUGACAUGGUCCUUGCCCAGGGAAUGUUUCCAAAGAUGGUUCUGUGUCCAUGGAGAUAGGGCAGAGCACCAGCCAAGGACACUCUGGUCCCACUGGGGAUGGUGGGUGGGGAGGUGCUGGUACCAUCAGAUGGCUGUUCCUCCCCCAGGGGGUCAGGGUACUUUAGAACCCGGAGCUGAUGCCCUCCUUCAGGACCCAAGGGAUGGGAGUGUGAUAGGAGUCAUCACCCUCAUCCUAAUGUCACCUUUAGGAAACCUGAAACUGCCCUAAGACGUGAAAGCCACUGUAGCCAGUGGUAAAAUACACAAGAGGUUGUGAGCGCCAUCUCCUGGUGAGACUCUGCUGCCACCUCCAAGAAACCUGCGGCCUCUUUCUCAUUCUCUGGAGUCAAAAGGUCUCUGGAGGUUACCGUGGGAUGAGUGUGGGGGAAGGCGGAGGUGGCAAAAGCUUCAUCUGACUCUUCCUCUUUUCAGAAUCUGAGGCCACCACCCUGUCCACAUCAGAGUGUGCCCAGUGUGGCCAACUCUCUAUGCGCAUUCUAGGUCUGGGGUCUCCAUCCUUCUCCCCAUCCUCUCCUCUUAUCCUGGCUCUCUCAGGCUCCUUGAAGAGUUUCAGGCUGCAGGAAAGGACCGGGGAGCCAAGGCACUCCCUUGGCCUUGCUUACCCCUGGAGCGCCUGGCCUCUGCGGCCUCCAUUUGUCAGGGAAGCUGCCCUGUUGGGCCGUCCCCUCCCAGGCUCUAGGCAGUGGUGCAGGAAGUCCCAGAGCACUGGCUGCCUCUCCCUCCCUGCCUGGGCUCAGUGCUGCUGCCCCACUCACAGCCUUGCCCAGCUGCCCGCCUGGCACAGAGCACGGCUGCCUGCUCUUCUAGGUUAGGUCCUUGGGCAGGGACAGUCUGUCUGCUCCACCACACCCCUCCCCCCGGUGUGGCGUGAAGCACACACACUCACUUAGAUUAAUUAAUCUGCUGCCCAGCCUGCUCCUCUGACUUAUCUUUUAUUCAUGGACAAGCAGCGUUCUCCGCUUUACCAGGAUGCAGGCAUCAAUAUUUCAUCUUGCUCGGCCUGCCAGCACCUGUCUCCCUCCCUCCUGCUUCCCACUGGCUCUAGGACCCAGAGGGCUGGGUGUGCUGGCCACCUGCAGCCACAGGAUGCAGGGCUGCUUCCACGGGCCCCUGACCUGUCCUCUGGGCCAUCCCUCUGACAGAGCGGGCGACCAGGCACCUUUCUGAACCAGAUGUCCUGCUCACUUUUUGUCCAUGCACCUGAAUGCUGGAAGAAAGGAAGUGACAGCAGUGGUCAGGACCGGGGACAUCUCGUCCUUCUCAUCCCACUCACCUGCAGACCCUCAGGCCUCCCUUCUGUGCUCAGGACCCUGAGGGCUGAACUGAACAUCUGGAGGGGCGUCUGGGGCUUGGGGGCCUCCUGAAGGGCACCAGGCCCUGAAACGCCAAAUCAUGUGCUGGAUGUGCUCUGUCACCAGCCCGCUGUCUCCUGAUUAUUCCUCCACCAGGCCUUGUCCAGCCAGGUUGGACUUGCUGUUCUCUUUCCCAGUGGUGUGCAUCUCUCUUCCUCCGAGGCCUCCACCCUUCUCAGAGCCUGCCCGCAGUACUAAUGACUCCUUCCCCAUGUCAGCCACAGCCACUCAGUUCCAAGCAGGGGAGGUAGUGUCUUUCUUCUCUGCUGGCCUUGACACAGCCCUGGAUACCCAGAGGAACUUCAUCAUAUAGAUUCGCUAUUAUUAGAACCCAUGUUUAGGCCAUGGGUUCUCAAACAUAAGCAUGUAUCAGAAUUGACUGGUGGGCUUGUUAAAACCCAAAUUACUGGCCUCAUUCCCAGCUUCUGACUUGAUAAAUAAGGGACUGGGGCCUGAGAGUUUUCAUUUCUAACAAGUUCUUGGGUGAUGCUGAUGUUGCUGUCUUGGGAUCACACUUUGAGAACCACCACUGUUCUCAGCAAAAACUGCACUUGCCCUUCUAGUCUAAGGGGGCAGAAGAGGAAAGCUGGUCUCAGUGGGGAGAUGGAAGAUGGGGUCAACACUUCAGACUCCUGGAAGUAACUCCCACACUGUCUCAGCAAUAUUCUCGACCUGGGCAGCAACAUUCAAGUUUAAUAUGCAUGGAGCGACGAGAGGAAGGGAGCCAAGGAGGGCGGAGCUGGGGAGGAGGCUGCAUAUUUCAUGCCGUUCCUGGCUUUGGAGGUCCUAGGGAGGCAGGCGUGUGGCAGCUGGUGACAACCUCAUUGUAAUAAGGGAUGGGGAGAGAUGCACCCUGCCAGGGCUCCAUGGGGGGCUGGAGGGAUGGGCCUGGGCAGGGUGAAGAGGGGGAAGGGAAGGCAGGCUGGGUGUGGAUGGGAGAUGGGGAGUAGCCAUGAUGGGACCUCCUGUCACUUCAUCCCCUUCUCCCCAGCAUCAGGGGUGGUGGGGAGAUUCCUGCAGGCCUGCAGAUUUCCUCAUUCUAUAUCCAAGGGCCUGCCUCUGACCCUAAGGGCACUUCGGAGACAUCCUUCCUUCCCCAAGAAGUAUCUCAAUACGUGCAGAAGUGUGAAGCAGAGCUCUGGUGGCAUCAGGAGCUUCUAAGUUGCAAGAGAACAGUCGCACGUCUGCGUCCACUUGCUCCUUCGUGCUCCAUUUCCCACACAAUCUGCUUCCAGUGAGGCCAAGGCCAAGGCCAUUUCUAAAAGGCUUAUGAUGGAGGAUUUGGGUGGAAUCUCUGAACCUUUAAAAAAAGCCCCCCCCUUCUCUUAGUUUGAGGUCCAUGGGCCCAACCACAGCACAGCCCUGAUGUGUGAAUUUAGCAUCCAAGACCCACAGCGAGGGAGAGGGAAGGAGGAAGGGUUUCUACUCAGAGACAAAGUUGGCCUGGGGAUCCUUUCUGGGGUCAGAGUGGGGUGUGUGGGCACAGGCUCCGUGCCUCCUGCUCACAGCCUCAAAGGGCUCUCAGCACCCCAAGUUGGCUGCAGUGACAGACGUGCCCCUUCUGAGCUCAGCAGGGACCCAUUCCAGCCUCUGGGGGUCACAGCACCAUUAGAACCUGUACCUAUGCUUCCUUGCUCACAGACACCAUAUUCUCAGUUUGAGACCAGCAGGAGGGUGAGGUUUGUGCAGGAGGCUUCUUAGGCAGAAGUCACACUGCUGCAGCUGUGCUCUGAGCUGCCCCAGCCCUGCCCCGUGUCUAGAGUUGUGUUUGCCCUUCAAAUGGCAUUUGCAUGCACAGAGGGGACAGGACCGUUGGAGAUGGGAGGGGAGGAAGCAAUGCACCUGGCUUUCAGUCUGACAGAUCCAGGUUCUGAUCCUGCCUGGUUUCUAAGGGCUGGACCUUGGCCAAGUCUUAUGGGCUUUCUGUAUCCUGAGAAUGGGGAUGAUAUAUAGAUUUCACAGGGUCCCUAGCACAGUGCCUGGCACCUGUGAGCUCCCAAUAAUGGCAUAUGCCAGACUUUGACCUUGUCCAUGCUAAAUCUGUGUGGGGUCUCACCUCAGCUGGGGCACCUUUCCUCCAGCCCACACCAGGUAGAACCAAUGGCCAGGCAUCAAGCCCCCUCCCUCAGAGCAACUGGAGUGAGCAUUCAAUCCUGAUUAGCUCCACCAGGCUCCCUCGUAACCUUUUCAUUAGGAAAUUAUGUUUAAUAGAAAUUGUUCUGACACCUCUCAGCAGCGUUUCCCCAUAAUUUAUUACCGCAGGGAGGGGGCCAGGCAGCUGAGCGCUCUGGGUCCCCAUUCCUUGGGGGAGGGGCCUCUCCUUUCCCCUCCCCAUCCCUGGUCCAUCUCUUGCAGGGUGAGUGGAGGAACAAAGUCAGAGGCGUUUCUGCUUGGUGUCCCCAUGGAAAGCAGCCCAGCUGUUAGAGCACAUUUGGAUGGGCCCAGCCUGCUCUCAGCUCCCUACCCUGGUUCUGACUUGGGACCACCCACUAUUGCCAGGGAUGCUUGUGUGUUGAUCGUACCCCCAGUUUUGUGUUGUCUUCAUACUGUCUCCAGAUGGAGAGGGGAGUGCAGUGUCCCCAGCAGCUGUGGCACAGGAAGUGCCUAGGUGCUUGGGUUCUGCAGCCUCUCUUCUGCUGGAGGCUCUAACUGUGGGCUGUUCCUUGCCUCUGGAAGCCUUACUGGGUGGGUUCCACCUGGGCUGCUCCUGCUGGACUGUCAUCCCUCUGAAGCCAGGCCAGGGGGAGGAGGUGUUCCACCUGCCAGAGUGCCAGGUUUGCAUUCCUCUGCUGGGCUGGACCAGGAAGGCAGAGACUGGAUGGGAUCAUUCUUCUCCAUCUGUCUGGGGCCUUGGGAUUUGCCUCCCAGCACCUCCCCGUCCCUGCUCUGCCUCUGGGCAGUGCUGAUGGACUCAUUGUACCAUCUCUGUCCACCCCUUUCCUCCCUCCAGAUUUUGAUGACUAACUGGAAGAUGUGCGUCUGUGUCUCUCCUGGUGGGUCCCAGGCUGCUGCUCCUCCCAUCUCAGUGCCUUGAGUUUUCUACUCGUGAAGGACCAGGCUCCUCAACCUGUGAGAGAGGAACACGGUGGCCAGAGCAGUGCUUGCUUCCUAGUGCUUUGAGAUCUGGGGCUGGCCCUGACGUCCCUGUGUGACAUUCUUACCCAACUCCUAGUGAGACCCUUUUGCCAUCUUACUACCAGCGUCUGAAAUCAGCAGCAGCCCCAAUCUCUCCCUGCCAUAUCACUCAGUGGUGUAAUUGUGCAGAAAAAAUGUAUUAACAUGCAAAACACCCAGUUGUACUUCUUUAUGUUAAAUCUUUUUUUUGCUCUAUCUCCCUUUUAAUUUUUACAAGCUUUUUUUUUUCUUUCUCCCCCCUCUAAUAAAGAGGAGAGCUGGGCACACAGGGAAUCAUUUCAACUCCCCUAUAAAUCUCCAAAAUGAAUACUUAAAUUCCAGGAAAAAAUACAUUCUUACACCUUUAAUUUCCCUGCUAUGAAGUGUAAUGAAAAAGGCUGAUUAUUUUUAAUUCUUCCCUUUAAUAAUUCAGCGGCGGAGUGAUUUAAGACUAGGAUUCAUAAUUACCUUUCCGCUUUCUUGGUAAAUGGAGUUUUAAUAGAAAUGAGAGCUCUGGUGACCAAAAUGGAUUUCAACAGGUCGCUGGGGGGUCAGGUCCGACAUCGAUUGCCAGAAUGUUGCUAGGGCCCAUGGGAGGUGGGGUCUGGACUGGACACUGGGCCCAGGUGAGUGGAAGGGAAAGUGUAUUGCGUGAACUUGGUGGGAACCGGCUGCUAAAAUAGUAAGGGCAGGUCUCUGUGGGUAUUGAGUGACCUCCUUAUCCUGGAAGGCACAAAUCAGUGGAAAAUGGCCAUCAGAAAAGUCUUGCCUUGUAAUAAUGAAUAAUAACCAUAAUAUUAAGUCUAGGAGUUACCAAGUUAUUAAGCACAGAGUUUUGCUUUAUUAAUUGAGCAAAUACCAUGUGCCAAGCAUAGUGCUAAGUGCUUCAUGGUCAUUCUCUCUCCUGGCCCUCCCAAUAAUCUAUUUCUACCUGCAGGGAAACCAAGGCUCAGAGUGGACGGGACAAGACAAAGCCAAGGCAAAUGGCAGAGCUGAGGUGUGAGCUCAGCUGUGUCCAGCUCUAGAGCCACCACUGCCCUCUGCUGACUAAGAUUCCCAAACCCUUCUCAGAGUUCAUUCCCCAGACACAGCACGUGCCCCCUCGCAGCUCACAGAAACAGGCAGACACAGUGGGCGAUCAAGGUGAUCAUGGGGAGACCUGCGCAGAGCGACCCAGGCUAGGGCAGUCGGGCUUCUGAUCCCUUCUAUCUUGCCACUGCCUGCUAGCUUGAAGGUUCUGGGAUAUCACUUGUCUGAAACUCAGUUUCCUAUCUGUAUAAUAAAAACUGACUUGCCUUGUUCAGAUGGCUGUAAUGAGCUUCAAAUGUGAAAAUGUGGGUGGAAAAUCCUUGUAAAUCCCAAAUCACUCUACCAUUAUUUGAUAGCAGAAGACUUAAAACAUCCCUUUCUGACUUACCCCAUAGCCCUUUUUCCUGCUGCCUACAUGCCCAGACUUCUACCAAACCCUCAAAUUUACCUCCUCUCCCAGGAAGCUUCCUGGAUUGACUCUUUCAAGGCACAUUGUUCCAGCAGCUUCUUCUUUGUAUAUUUCACAAUCACUUUAGCCCUUAAAUUCUUUGGCAGAGCAUAGGUGUGUUUAUCUGUGCCUCCUAUAGACUGUUACACCAUGGGCAGGGCUUUUAUACUCACCCCCUGGAAAUCUCAGACCUCUGGCUCUACAUUCGGGCUGUGCAGGUUCUCUACCUGCAUGGAGAUGGACAUGAAAACCUAUAGAUAAUCCCAAACCAAGAAAUGGUCGUAUUGGGUAGCUGAGGUGCAAAGGGAAACACCACGAGGUCAUGGGUGUAUAUAUGAGUGCACAUACACACCCUCCUCCACGCCUGCACCUGCUCACCUGAGCUUGUCUGUAGAUGGACACUGCAUCUUACCUUUAUUUUAUAGUUUAUCAAGUGCUUCCCCAAAUGUUAAGCCCCAUGGCUCUCUCAAAAGCUUCUACAAGAGAGGUGGCAAUGGUGGUAGUAGUGGGGGUCAUUGUCCUCUCUCGGAGCAAGAGAGGGUCCAUGUCUUGCCCAACACCCCUGCCAGGCAUGGGGAACCCAGGCCUUUUGUCUCCUAAGCCAUGGCACGCUCUGGACAGAGUGGGAACUCCCAUGGCAGAGGGGGAGCUCUGGAGUACAUACCAGGGAGCAUGUGUGCCCUCACUGAGUGUGAGAGGUGACAGAGGGCUCAGGAUGCCCAGAGGUGUGGGCCUGGAACAGAGCCCUGCCUGAGUUUAGCAGGAGUCCAAGGGAGCCAGGCCUCCUGCCCGUGGGGUCACCAUGUCCCUGGGGGCCUGAGUAAGAAAGGAGGGGCUGGAGCCAGAGGAGGGGGUCCUGAGGACCUCUGC